CCCCCCCCCCCCCCCGUCCCGCCACUUCACGCACUGCGAGGCUCUCGGGACUUCCUGUCUCCGGCCUCAGCACCCCCUGCCUGGGAGCUGCCAGAUGGGAAAAGGCUCCGGCGAGGGAAUGGGGGAGGGGCUGUGGCCGGAGGCGGGCAGCGGCCCUGUGGACCCUCACCUGGGCGGUCUGCUCCCCCUGCCUGCUCGCCCACCCGGGCUUGUUCUAGCGUAUGCAUAGAUCAUGCUGUCUGUCCUCCUGAUCCCUGAGCCCCAGUGGCUCCCUAGUACCCACAGGACCGAAGGGGACGCCUUCAGCCCAGCCCAGCCUGGCCCCUUCCUGCCCAGACCACGGAGGACUAGCUUGCAACCCAGACUUGUCAGAACAGCCCGGGGCCAGCCUGUGCUCAGCUCCCAGACACAGACCCCGCCCCGGGGCCAAAGGCAUUGCCUUCAGGGGCUUCAUAGACACCCAGCUCCGCUUGCAUCCCUCCCAAGCCCCCUUCCCAAAUGUGGGAGACUUCUUAGGAGACUUCUUUCCCAACAGGAAGGAAGCAAAUGAGCUUCCUGGUCAUCUUCCGCCCGGAAAGCCCCUCCAGAGGGGACUCAUGUCACCCCAAACAUUCCAUUUCCCACCUCCGCGCCUUUGGCCCCACUGGAAGUUCUCCCUCCCCAGCUUCCUUCUGGACUCACAGUGAGCUGUCAGACUAACAAGUGAUCUGUAGAAUAAUAACCCUCUGUACGUGCAUGUGCAUAUAUCUAUUCAGAGAGGGAGACCGCAGGAUCAUCACUUCCAUUUCAGAGGAAGAGCCCUGAGAGACACUGACUAAGGCCUCAUUUCACAGAGCAGGAAACUGAACCGAAAAGAGGUAUUAUUUAGGGAUCUCAGAUUUCCAUCCAAUUAGAACUCUUCUCUCUGACAAACCAGUUCUGGAUUCCGUAGAGGCUGACGGAGCAAAGGGAACCCCCUUAAAGAAGUCAGAACGCCCAUUUCCAUGACGUUGUCUGGUUGCCAGUGGACUUGAAAGUGGUUUCUGAGACAUCAUCAGACACGGGCGCAUACACAGAACUAGCAUGGAAUUCCAAGAAGUGGGAAUAGCGCCACAGACUAAAUUAUGGAGCUUUUUGUCUGAGAUGAAAUUCAAACCAAGCCCGA